rnacentral:misc_RNA from 1 species
UACUGCCAACUGUUCAUUGUUCUAUGGUACUACGUUGCGCUGAUGCGGACUGCCACUUCCUUACAGUUUACCUCGCCGUAGCUAGGCGGAGCACCUUAUUGAACGGAGUAGACCCAGGACCAUAACGUUGCGCUUGAUUCCAAGUAUUACUUUCGGUUGAGGCGCUGCCACUGACUGCGCCGCCAGGCAGGUCACGCUCAACAGUAUUCCUGGAGCUCGUACACCUGCAACCAUUGCGGCUCUCGAGGUCGCCGAGCUGGAGCAGGCAGAGGAUCCUUCUGCGGCCCCAGCGCGCGGCAUCAAGUUCAAAUUCUCCGAAGGGGAAAAAGUUUUGUGCUACGAGCCCGACUCCUCAAAAGCCAAAGUCCUCUACGACUCUAAGGUAUUGGAGCUUGUCGUUGGCAAGGAUAGUCGAGGCCGCAAGAUGCCCGAAUACCUAAUUCAUUUCAGCGGCUGGAGCAGCAGCUGGGAUCGUUGCGUUGCAGAAGAGUUUAUAUUGCCUAACACCCUAGAGAACAGGAAGUUGAAGAAAAGGCUAGCGGAGGAAGCAGCGCAGAAACUGCUCCAAACAAGUAAAUCAAAGAAACGUAAGGUUCCUGCCAUACUGAAAGAAACUCUCGACAGAAAACUGCGUGGAAGGAGCAGGAAGGAACGAAGCAGAAGUGUCUCGAGUAGUGGCGAUGAAGAGUCCUCGUCACAAUCUGACUCCUCAGAGCAGCAAGGUGGCGACUCCGACGAGGAAAAGGACAGUGAAGAGGAACCAGAGGAAAUUGCAACGGAUUACAAUAUUGAAAUUCCCAAAAUUCUCCGAAAGACAUUAGAGGAUGACUGCCACAACAUCACUGUUAAAAAAAAGCUUGUUCAUCUGCCAUGCACACCAGAUGUGGUCGACAUGCUGGAGGGCUAUCUGAAACACUAUGCUGCAAAGCUAACACUGACAGCUUCCAAGAAUGCCAAAGGCAACACUUCCCGUCAGCCGCCCCUUGAUGCAUCAGAAGUAGAGUCAAGGUUUUCAUUGUGUAAGGAAGCUAUGGAUGGACUGCGGAUUAUAUUUUCUUCCACCUUGUCCAACUCAUUACUGUACAACGAAGAAAAGGCUCAGCAUAAGUUGGUAACGUCAUUCUGCCGCCCUAUCCGGAUUUCUCGGUCGACAACAAGUCAUCGACCAAAUGACGCAGCAAGUUCUAGUGAAGCAAGCCUUCUAAACAUGGCACCAGACGUUGCGACCACAGUGAAGUGCCGUUCUCGUAAGAGCCUACAUGUCAACCCUGAUUCCAAGGGCACCUCUUCUUCUCCAAGACGGAAGCGAUCUGCAAGUCCGCCGGAAAAACGCAGCUUGCGUGCCGUGGAGCCACAUUCUGCAUGGAGCAGCUCUCCUGCCAAGUCUACUCAUGACGACAGUGACACAGACAAUCUGCCCUUGGCUGUGGCGAUAAUGGAGCACCGAGGCGACGGACUGCAAGCACGUGUUCCGUGUCGUCAUCUGUGUCGGCAGCCGCGUCUGAAGCUGCACCAACUACCGUUGCCAACAAAUUUGACUGCACAAUACUCCCGAGUGAAUGUUUGGAAGAAAACCCAGCAUCUCCAGCUCUGCUGUAUGGUGCACAACACCUCCUGCGGCUCUUCGUAAAGCUUCCCGAGUUGCUGCAGAAAAUGGCGAUCACAAAGACUAAAGCUGGCUAUCUUGAAAACUUUGUGAAUGGCUUCUUGCACUACCUUGCAGGUCGGCACGAAGAACUCUUUCCAUCAUCUGCUUAUCGAGAUGCUGAGCAAGUCAUGGCUGAACUUGAAAAAUACAAAACUCUUGAUGAUUAA